rnacentral:misc_RNA from 1 species
AAGAGUAAAAGAAGUAUAGGAAUGUGCACUCACUGUUCACUUCUAACACAAUAUCUUUCCAUAUUAGUUGACCUUGCGAUGUGACGACAAGUUGUGUUAGUUUUGAGAUUUAAGAUCCUCCGUAAGAGUAGUAUUGUUGAUCAAAAUACGCUACCCGUUGAAUAGUUUUAAAAUCUUUUAUUAUACAUGCAAAAUAAUAAUCUUGAUUCCUGGUGCAAUAUUUGUAUCAUAAAUAUUUCGAGACAUGCAAACACAUUGAGUGUACUCUAUUUCACAACAAUUACGACAGCAAGUUCGAUGGAAGCUUAUUACAACAAGAACCCAGCAGGAAUCAUUUGGUAUUCACAAAAGUAUUUUAGAGACUAAAUUCUUUUAUCGAAAAUUCGCGUGGAGUCUAAAUUCUUUUUUUCACGAAAUUGACUGACGCGGAAAUGCGCACUCUUUAAUUACUAAAUUUUGACUACUCUCUAUUAUAAGAGUAAAACAAAGUAAUCUCA